GACGUAGGGGGCAAGCGUUGUUCGGAAUUAUUGGGCGUAAAGCGCUCGUAGGCGGGAUUGGAAGUCCGUGUUGAAAGACCUCGGCUCAACUGAGGGACCGGCUCGGAUACUCUAAUUCUUGAGGCAAUCAGAGGAUGAUGGAAUUCCCGGUGGUAGCGGUGAAAUGGCGUAGAUAUCGGGAGGAACACCAGUGGCGGAAGGCGAGUCAUCUGGGGUUGUUCGUGCACGCUGAGGAGCGAAAGCUAGGGGAGCAAACGGG
rnacentral:rRNA from 1 species